UAUAUACCCAACAGUUUGUAACUGUUGGGAAAAGAUGCAUUUUAUGUAGAGCUAAUAUCGGUCCUCAAUCACAACAUUCAAACUCUUGUGCAAACGUUUCAUGGUUUUACCAAUCGUGUUGAGUUAUGGGAGGCCAACUGGAUCCCGAGAAGAUUCAAUUGUGCAGCCGACUUUGUGGCUCGCUGGGCAAUUCAAUCUGCCCAGUUUGGGACGAUUGAAUUGGCCAAUUUUGACAGUUCCCUGUCACCUUGGGAGGCAGAUGGCUGAAUCGGUUUUUUUUUUUUUUUCGUUUUUUUAGUUACUAGGUCUGAUUUAGUUUGUUUCGAAGCUUAGUUCUGCUUUUUUUCUGGUUUUUAGUUUUCGUGUAGUUCUUGUGUUGUUCUGCUGUUGUGUUGCUCCUUCGAAAGUAACAGUUAUCAAAAAAAAAAAUCUUGGCUCCAAAAUGAUUUUUUUACUUUUUUUAGUGUCUAAAUAAUUAAGACAAUAUAUAUAAUACCGUUCAAACAUUGUCUUUUAGUUUACAAAAGAAAAUCAAGAAGCCAUUAAUACCUAAGGCUCAAAUAUUUCAGACGAGUGCUUGAAAAUCUCAUCUCUCUCUCUCUCUCUCGUGGCUGAAACUGAAUCCCCAAGGUUGAAAGUUUCCCUGUGAUGUGAUCCACGGCAGCUCCUUUCUUCUCAGCUCUCGUCGAUACUCUGCGCGACGAUUCCUCAAGUCGGAGCCCAUGAGAGUCCAAGUUGAAGCUUUUUUCUUCUCAGCUCCUGUUAGAUCUCUCUAACCCGAACCCUUAUCUCUCUCUUUCAAAAACCCUAUGUUUUGUACACAAGUCGAUUUUCUCUUUUGUUUCUCAGGCCCUACAAAAAUCAAGGAGAAUCGCUUUCCCUUUCGAUCCAGAACUCGGACUCACUCGCGCUUCAGGACAGAAACUAGAGAGACAGUCUUGUGAUAAGUAAUUGAUGCAUAUCAGAAAUCUGAACUGUUUGAUUCAUAAACCCUCCAUUAAGUAUUUUUGUCGAAGUUUUUCUCUAUGGUCAAUGAAGAAGGACCCUGAUCUUGAAUCAGCUCUCUCUAGAAACCGUAGAUGGAUAGUCAAUAAUCAAAUUAAGAAUAUAGUCCUUCGAUACCCGAAUCAGAUACUACCACUGAGAUUCCUCCAGAAAAAGUUCAAGACCCUUGAUCUCCAGGGAAGUGCUAUGAAUUGGGUCAAAAAAUACCCUUGUUGCUUUGAGGUUUUUCUCCAACAUGAUGAGUAUUACUGUCGGUUAACCAAAAGGAUGAUGGCUUUGGUGGAGGAGGAAGAAACUGUCAAGGAUAUGCAGGAACAGGUGCUUGUGCAGCGAUUGGCGAAGUUGCUGAUGAUGAGCACAAAUCACAGACUCAAUGUUGUGAAACUUAAUGAGCUGAAAAGGAAUUUCGGGUUUUCUGAUGAUUACUUGAUUAGGAUUGUGCCCAAGUACUCUGAUUUGUUUCGAAUUGUCAAUUAUGGUGGGAGGCGGAGUUCAAUGGAUAUUGAACUUGUCUCUUGGAACUCUGAUUUGGCUGUUUCUGCAAUUGAGAUCUCAGCUCAAAAGCAGGGUGUUGAACCUUGUUUCUCUUGUUCGUUGCCUUCAACUUGGGUGAAGUCUUGGGAAAGAUUUCAUGAAUUCAAUUCGACUCCUUAUGUAUCACCGUAUAUGGACCCUGGCCAACUUGUGGAAGGAACAAAGGAAAUGGAGAAGAGGACAGUGGGGUUGGUGCAUGAGCUGUUGUCAUUGACUCUGUGGAAGAAAGUGUCAAUAUUAAAGCUUGGACAUUUUAAGAGAGAGUUUCGAUUACCUGACAAAUUGAAUGUUUUGUUGCUCAAGCACCUUGGUAUAUUCUAUGUUUCGAAUAAGUAUCAGCUCUAUACUGUACUUCUUAGAGAAGGUUAUAAGGGAUCAGAGUUGAUUGAUAAGGAUCCCCUCGUUGUGGUAAAGGAGAAGUUUGGUGAGCUGAUGCAGGAAGGGCUUCAUGAAUAUAAUCGAAGGCAUUGCUCCCAAAAUUUAGAAAAGAAGAGAAAGGCAGGCAUGGUUUUGAGUAGAUUGCGUGAAAUCGAAGAUAAAAACUCAGACCUUUCUGAUUCUGAGGAUCAGGUACAAGGAGACAAGCUAGGUGGCUUAUUUGAUCCAGAAGAAAGAAAGCGGUUUUAUAAAGUUCUCUUUGAUGAUGAUGCUCCAGGAUAAGCUGUUGUGCAGCUUUGGCAAUAUGGUUGAAGGUGAGUUUGUCAUUGUGCUUCUGUUUCAUACCACUGAGACAAAUGAGAUGAAUAUAGAAACACAAUGGAUAUAACUUAGUAUGGAAAUCAGAUUUCGAAAACCUUCUUCGCAGUCUAGUCUUCGGUUCUCCCUGGGACGCCUCUACAGCUCAGCCACAACCACAGCCGAAAACUUUAGCUCAAAGGAAGUCAAUAAGAGGUAUGAGAUCGUUAAAACAAAAUUUUUGUUCACUGAGAGGAUUUUCGCCUGGUGAUUUCGAGCUUCCAUUUAUAUUGCUGAAGUCAUUGAAAAGCAUAAAUGGGAAACAUUUUGUCAGCAGCCAUUGAAAAGCUACAAUUUCGAUUGGGAGGUGAUUUGAAUUAAAGUUGAGUUGUGAAAAUAUUAGACCUUUUUUUAGUGAAAAAUCGAAGAUAUAUUGACCAGAAGUUUUCAGCAAAAAUAAAUAAAUCAGGUCAUUACAAUCCAAGAUUAGAGGGUAAAGAUGAAACAUCAAUGCAACAUGUAACCUUAAAACUUCAACGCCCACUUGGCAAUGCGUAUUACAACCACUAAACAUACAAGCAAACACAUAAUUACCAACAUAGUAUUCAGCAUUUGAUAUGUUGUCUUGUGAUUGUUUAAUAAUAUUUUUUAAAAAUUAUUAUAUUAAAUUAUAUGAGACUUAAUAUUUAAUUGUACCAUAUAUUACAUAUUGGUAGUGCUAAGCACCACUUGUGAUUUUUAACAUUUCUUAUUACAUAAAUGAGGUCUAUUUGGUA